AUACGGAGGAUGCGAGCGUUAUCCGGAUUUAUUGGGUUUAAAGGGAGCGUAGGUGGGAUAUUAAGUCAGCUGUGAAAGUUUGGGGCUCAACCUUAAAAUUGCAGUUGAUACUGGUUUCCUUGAGUACGGUACAGGUGGGCGGAAUUCGUGGUGUAGCGGUGAAAUGCUUAGAUAUCACGAAGAACUCCGAUCGCGAAGGCAGCUCACCGGGCCGGAACUGACACUGAUGCUCGAAAGUGCGGGUAUCAAACAGGAUUAGAUACCCUGGUAGUCCGCACAGUAAACGAUGAAUACUCGCUGUUUGCGAUACACGGUAAGCGGCCAAGCGAAAGCGUUAAGUAUUCCACCUGGGGAGCACGCCGGCAACGGUGAAACUCAAAUGAAUUGACGGGG
rnacentral:rRNA from 1 species